rnacentral:lncRNA from 1 species
AUGGUGCAACUCAAAAUAGAUAAGCAGUGGAAGAAGGUAAUCCUCCAUUUAUGCCGCCAGCUGCCAAACCAUCUCAUAGCUCCACAGCUCUGCAUUGGUGGCACUGGGUAUUUCAACAGCUCCUUGGGUUGGAGUCACAGUAGCGGGCAAAUGUGUCAGAUCAGACGUUCAGCAGGCUCAGAGAAGACAGAUAGCUCCACGUAUCAGGGCACUGUGGACCCAUUACUCCAUGAAGAUAUCUGUGACACCCUUGGACUGCUCAUGUCCCUUUCCCCUACCAAAGACUGAUCUGUGGCUGAAAUCAGAAGUGAGUACAGUGACUCUGUGAUUAAUUCACAUCUUGCCUGGGACCGAGGAAGUGAUUUAUGGUCCCUGAGGGAAGUGGUUGUUUUCUGAAGGACACGGCCCUGGAAAAUUGAAGGCUGGUGAAAGCCUGCAGCGUCACCUGAAACUUGGGAGGUGAAACCAUGAUUGGUGGGAAAAAGCAGCAGCUCUGCAGAAGAGAAAUGCUCAUGGGAGAGGGUGUACCAGGAGAGCUGCGGAGGAAGUGUGUGAGGGAGCAGCUGCAGAAACAGGCUGUAGGGAGGUGGCAAACACUUUGGGAAUGAGCCCUGGAAAAGAGAAACAGGGAAAGAGGAAAAAAUGCAGUGACAGGAGUAGAGAUUAAACGAGGGCUGCCAAUGGAAGCAGCCUGAGGAUGAGCAGCAUAGGGAUGGGAGCACUUGGAGGUGGUGCUAUCCAGGUGCUUCAGUCACUGUGGGUUCAGACAAUGUGAGAACCUGAGCAAAGCCACUGGAGCUGCAUGGGAAGCCUCUCCAAGCUCACCUCUCCUGGUGGGACUGUCAGCUACACCACCAGAUUACUUAACCCAGGAACAGGGUCACCCUUGUGGUAGACAUGUAUUGGAAGUCCUGUAGGAAGCUCCUUUGGUUGUCAGUGGAGCAACAGAGCAAGCAGCCUGCAAUGACUCGGCCCACUUAAGGGCAGAGCUGCCUUCCCCAAGCAUGUACCUCCUUGCUCUGACAACAGGAAGACCAUAAAGCUGAGACAGCCUUAACUUAGGAAUCUCAGCCAAAAGCUAGAGAGGAUAAAUCUGGAUAUUUGAAUAGGUGGAGGAUAUAUAUGGAAAAGUUGGCACUGCACAGCAUAGUCAAGGAGUGCCAUAGUGAGAGCAGGUGAGUCAUCUCAGGAGGCACCAGAGAUGACUGUACAGUCAUAUAUGCAAUCAGCAUCACUUAUUGCACAAUUAGAAGGGCACACAAUGUGCUAGCCAGCGUGUUGGCUGUGGCUCCCCAUAUUAUACACUUCAAUUCAACUGUCUUGAUACAGCUAUCUUUUGCUAUUAGUUAUAAGGUAAUGCUAGUGGGAAGUAGGGAAUGACAAAAUACUGCUGGAAAGCAAUCAAGCUGUUAAACAAGCACUUAAAUGCACAUGUUAGUAUUUCCCUUAGUGUGUUAAUUCUAUUUUACAAUUUAGAAAUAAACAUACAGGUUUCGAGGAAUACA